CAUACAUGAAACCAGCAGCCACACAAGAGCAGUAAUGGAAGGAGGAGUACAGCGCGUCAAAUGGGGAAUCUUGGACAUACAGUAUAUGCAGUUUGGCUUGGAUGCCAGUGAUGACAUGGAGGAAAUGAGAGUCGUAGGAAAGGUGAAUGAUACAGGGAGCAUAACCUACCCAGGAGAAAAUGAAGGAGCUGCUAAAAGCAAGUGACUGUUAUGUCAAUAGCAAUAUACCUUGCUGUCAAGUUCCACUAUCCUCCCAAGACAUCAAAAUCAUAGUAUAUGCAACUACAUGCUUCGGCACCAACAAGUACCUAGAACUAAACCUCCACUGUGAGCUGCUCUUUAGGAAAUACCUUUAUUCUCUCACAUCAGAAAGUUUUUUAAUACUGCAUAGAAUUUUAUAUUAAAAAAGCAGUAAAAAAAUCACAUUACUUUGACCACAUUAUACACUAAAAUUAAAUUCCUAAGGCAUCUUCUGUGCAUCCACUAUGAUUGAGAAACAUUCAAAUCUGAAGUACUUGGCAGGUUGUUUAAAGCAAUAUAAGGAUUAAAGCCUUACACAUUAUUAA